UUAGAACCUAAUUAGGCUUCCCAACCUGCAAUCUAACGAGCUUGGUGAUGUGGCUGCCAAGUUUACAGCAGAUUCAAAGGCUGAUGGAAAUGUUUGGGGAUGAGACAGAGGCGAUGAUGGAACAACACUGUGAAGAACCACAGCACGGCUCCCCAUAAAAGUCAUCUUUAUGGACAGAUAUUUCAUGGCGGCAGCUUGAGAAGGCUCACGUUUCUUAGGCAGCUGGUGCAGAGCCAGGAGAGCUAAUCAUGAGAUCUUCCAGUCCCAGGACGUGGGCUGCAGCUGGCGGCUGUGGUCGUCUUAUAUCAAACUCUCAAGAGUCACAGGGCAGCAGCAUUGGCCCCCUCCCAAGUCAUUCCAGAUGGGAUUUAAGGUGGCUUAAUGAGCAUUCAUAAAAUACAGCAAGAGAACAUAAACUG
rnacentral:lncRNA from 10 species